AUGUACCAUGGUGGAAUGAUGAGUGCUUUUUUUUUUUUUUUUUUUUUUUUUUUUUUUUUUUUUUUUUUUUUUUUUUUUUUUUUUUUUUUUUUUUUUUUUUUUUUUUUUUUUUUUUUUUUUUUUUUUUUUUUUUUUUUUUUUUUUUUUUUUUUUUUUUUUUUUUUUUUUUUUUUUUUUUUUUUUUUUUUUUUUUUUUUUUUUUUUUUUUUUUUUUUUUUUUUUUUUUUUUUUUUUUUUUUUUUUUUUUUUUUUUUUUUUUUUUUUUUUUUUUUUUUUUUUUUUUUUUUUUUUUUUUUUUUUUUUUUUUUUUUUUUUUUUUUUUUUUUUUUUUUUUUUUUUUUUUUUUUUUUUUUUUUUUUUUUUUUUUUUUUUUUUUUUUUUUUUUUUUUUUUUUUUUUUUUUUUUUUUUUUUUUUUUUUUUUUUUUUUUUUUUUUUUUUUUUUUUUUUUUUUUUUUUUUUUUUUUUUUUUUUUUUUUUUUUUUUUUUUUUUUUUUUUUUUUUUUUUUUUUUUUUUUUUUUUUUUUUUUUUUUUUUUUUUUUUUUUUUUUUUUUUUUUUUUUUUUUUUUUUUUUUUUUUUUUUUUUUUUUUUUUUUUUUUUUUUUUUUUUUUUUUUUUUUUUUUUUUUUUUUUUUUUUUUUUUUUUUUUUUUUUUUUUUUUUUUUUUUUUUUUUUUUUUUUUUUUUUUUUUUUUUUUUUUUUUUUUUUUUUUUUUUUUUUUUUUUUUUUUUUUUUUUUUUUUUUUUUUUUUUUUUUUUUUUUUUUUUUUUUUUUUUUUUUUUUUUUUUUUUUUUUUUUUUUUUUUUUUUUUUUUUUUUUUUUUUUUUUUUUUUUUUUUUUUUUUUUUUUUUUUUUUUUUUUUUUUUUUUUUUUUUUUUUUUUUUUUUUUUUUUUUUUUUUUUUUUUUUUUUUUUUUUUUUUUUUUUUUUUUUUUUUUUUUUUUUUUUUUUUUUUUUUUUUUUUUUUUUUUUUUUUUUUUUUUUUUUUUUUUUUUUUUUUUUUUUUUUUUUUUUUUUUUUUUUUUUUUUUUUUUUUUUUUUUUUUUUUUUUUUUUUUUUUUUUUUUUUUUUUUUUUUUUUUUUUUUUUUUUUUUUUUUUUUUUUUUUUUUUUUUUUUUUUUUUUUUUUUUUUUUUUUUUUUUUUUUUUUUUUUUUUUUUUUUUUUUUUUUUUUUUUUUUUUUUUUUUUUUUUUUUUUUUUUUUUUUUUUUUUUUUUUUUUUUUUUUUUUUUUUUUUUUUUUUUUUUUUUUUUUUUUUUUUUUUUUUUUUUUUUUUUUUUUUUUUUUUUUUUUUUUUUUUUUUUUUUUUUUUUUUUUUUUUUUUUUUUUUUUUUUUUUUUUUUUUUUUUUUUUUUUUUUUUUUUUUUUUUUUUUUUUUUUUUUUUUUUUUUUUUUUUUUUUUUUUUUUUUUUUUUUUUUUUUUUUUUUUUUUUUUUUUUUUUUUUUUUUUUUUUUUUUUUUUUUUUUUUUUUUUUUUUUUUUUUUUUUUUUUUUUUUUUUUUUUUUUUUUUUUUUUUUUUUUUUUUUUUUUUUUUUUUUUUUUUUUUUUUUUUUUUUUUUUUUUUUUUUUUUUUUUUUUUUUUUUUUUUUUUUUUUUUUUUUUUUUUUUUUUUUUUUUUUUUUUUUUUUUUUUUUUUUUUUUUUUUUUUUUUUUUUUUUUUUUUUUUUUUUUUUUUUUUUUUUUUUUUUUUUUUUUUUUUUUUUUUUUUUUUUUUUUUUUUUUUUUUUUUUUUUUUUUUUUUUUUUUUUUUUUUUUUUUUUUUUUUUUUUUUUUUUUUUUUUUUUUUUUUUUUUUUUUUUUUUUUUUUUUUUUUUUUUUUUUUUUUUUUUUUUUUUUUUUUUUUUUUUUUUUUUUUUUUUUUUUUUUUUUUUUUUUUUUUUUUUUUUUUUUUUUUUUUUUUUUUUUUUUUUUUUUUUUUUUUUUUUUUUUUUUUUUUUUUUUUUUUUUUUUUUUUUUUUUUUUUUUUUUUUUUUUUUUUUUUUUUUUUUUUUUUUUUUUUUUUUUUUUUUUUUUUUUUUUUUUUUUUUUUUUUUUUUUUUUUUUUUUUUUUUUUUUUUUUUUUUUUUUUUUUUUUUUUUUUUUUUUUUUUUUUUUUUUUUUUUUUUUUUUUUUUUUUUUUUUUUUUUUUUUUUUUUUUUUUUUUUUUUUUUUUUUUUUUUUUUUUUUUUUUUUUUUUUUUUUUUUUUUUUUUUUUUUUUUUUUUUUUUUUUUUUUUUUUUUUUUUUUUUUUUUUUUUUUUUUUUUUUUUUUUUUUUUUUUUUUUUUUUUUUUUUUUUUUUUUUUUUUUUUUUUUUUUUUUUUUUUUUUUUUUUUUUUUUUUUUUUUUUUUUUUUUUUUUUUUUUUUUUUUUUUUUUUUUUUUUUUUUUUUUUUUUUUUUUUUUUUUUUAAAGAUCCAAUAUCUCCUGAUUCACACUCCAGUCCAGUCGGUGGCGGUAAUGCACCGUUAAGUUGGUUUGCCAACCGCCAUAAAAAACAAAAGAAGAAGAAGAAGAAGAAGGUACAUCCGUCCGAAACAUUGAUUCGGAACAAAAAAGAUUCGGAAGUUUCCGAACGCACAAAGCACAAGUGA
rnacentral:lncRNA from 12 species